GGGGCCGACAUGGUUUCGACGUGGAUUACAAAGCAUUGAGGGCAUACCGAGGACCCGUCAUCUCGUAAAACAAUGGGAAUGUAAUAACUGCUAACGACGAACGUUACGCACUAGCAGCUUAAUUGCUGCAGCCCCUGAACUGAUUCUCUCUUGGGUCAGGUAGCGCAAGCUACAUCAGGGUCAUUUACAAGAGAUAAGGUUGCAUAGUGUCGUGAUGUGCAGCUCGAAAAUUAAACGAAUCGCCAGUUUGUAACGUGUUGGUCCGUGACAGGUUGGUUAAAUCAAAUGACACAACUAAGUAUGUAGAACUCCAUGUGGAGGAUUUGCGGACGCGGGUUCGAUCCCCGCCGGCUCCACCA
rnacentral:tmRNA from 1 species